rnacentral:rRNA from 1 species
UGGGGAAUCUUGCGCAAUGGGCGAAAGCCUGACGCAGCGACGCCGCGUGAGUGAUGAAGGCCUUCGGGUUGUAAAGCUCUGUGGGGAGAGACGAAUAAGCUUUGGCUAAUAUCCAGGGUGAUGACGGUAUCUCCUUAGCAAUCACCGGCUAACUCUGUGCCAGCAGCCGCGGUAAGACAGAGGGUGCAAACGUUGUUCGGAAUUACUGGGCGUAAAGCGCAUGUAGGCGGCCUAGCAGGCCGUAUUUGCAAGCCCUCGGCUCAACCGAGGAAGUGCAUUCGAAGCCGCAAGGGUUGAGUCGAGGAGAGGGUAGUGGAAUUCGCGGUGUAGAGGUGAAAUUAGUAGAUAUCGAGAGGAACACCGGUGGAGAAAGCGGAUAGCAGGACGAGGAAUGACGCUGAGAGGCGAAAGCGUGAGGAGCAAACA